GUCAUUCAUAAGUGUCUUGAACCAUAAAAUGCUCAUGAGAGGAAAUGUUACACAGGUGAGUGUCGCAGCCACAUCCAUAAUGCCUGAAUUGGAUGGGACAAGGGGAUCCUGAGAUGAGACAAUAGGGUGAGUAGCCUGGAUUGUCCAGGUGGGCCGAAUGUAUUCACAGGGGUCCUUAAAAUGGAGGACAUUUCCCAGCUGAGUUUAAAUUCAGAGGGAGGUGUAGCCAUAGAGCAAUGUUCAGAAAGGCUGCUGACCAUGAAAAUGGAGGAAGUCGUGGGGCACAAGCUAAGGAAGGUGGGUUACCUCUGGAAACUGGAAAAAAAAAACAACAACAAGGAAACAUUCUCUUCUAGACCCUCUAGAAGGAAGGAAACCUGCUGCUACCUUGAAUUUAGCACAGUGAGAACUGUGUUGGAUCUCUGACUUCCACAGCCAUAAGCUGAUAAAUCUGUGCUUGUUUAUGCUCUUAAGCUUAUGGAAAUUUCUUACAUUGGUAAAAGGAAAAUAACAUAGUGAGCCGUAGUGUAACGGAUUAAAGGUAUAGGAUGGGGUGUGGAGAGGAUUCUGACAUUUAAACCUAAAAAACAACCAGGUGAAAUGGGAAGGUGUUUUAAGGAAGACUUACCUGGCAGGGCUGUUAAGCACACUGGAGCGAGGGGAGCAUUGGAGUUAGAGGAAUCCAUUAAAUCUCUACAAGGAAAAUAAGGAAUAAAAUGUAACAGGGCUUCAGUGAUAGUGGAUGUAGGAAUGGAAAUGGGCAGAGAGAUAUAAAUAUUACUUUGAAAUUAGCUACAGGUUUGAUGACUGCAUGUUGGGGAGACUUAGCCGAUGUGUGGACUGAAUGUUUGCAUCCCCUCAAAAUCCGUAUGUCGAAACCCCAUCUCCCAGGGUGAUGGUAUUGCGAGGCGGGGCCUUUGGGAGGUGAUUUGUAGGAUAAAAUGAGGUCAUGAGAGUAGAGCCCUCAUGAAUGGGAUUAGUGUUCUUAUGCAAGCCCCCAGAGUGCUUGCUUCUCUCUGCUCUCUGGGAUAUGAAGAUAUUGGGAAGACAGCCAUCUUCGAGCUGGCAAUCCUCUCAAGGAUACAUUGACCUUGAAAGUGUCAGCCUCCAAACCAUAAGGAAUAUGCUGGUUGUUUAAGCCACCCGACACGCGGUAAUUUGUUACAGCAUCCCAGACUGACGAAGACAGUGGAGAAUGCCUCUGAGUUUGGCACUGAUUGCCUGGAGAAUGCUGAAACCCAGGGAAGUGGGCAGCACAGACGUUUACUCAUUUAAUCCUGCCAACACAGUAGGAGAUAGAGUCCACAUAUUCCUCGCUACUUAAAAGAUCCCUGCCUUCUCUCUGCUCCUCCUGUCCAUGUCUCUUCCUCCACUUUUCCCCUUCUCCCUUCCUCCUCCCAUCUUCUCCGUCCCUCGCUUCCCCACCUUCUCUCACAGAACUCGGAGAGGAUCGCUGGCCCUGCUGCGCAUGCGCAGUCGUUGCCAGCUGGAACGAGGGUUGGAAGCUCCAGCUCCGAGCCGGGGAUCGGCCCCAAAAGCUGCUCAGCUCUUUCGCCCGGUAGGACAUUUGCUCCUGCCCCGGCGCCCCGGCCACAGCUGUCCAGCGCCAGCUUCUCCUGGUGGAGUCGGGAAAAGGGAGCGUCAGUGCUGAGCGUGCUUCCGUCUCCUCCCUCAGUGUUUCUGCCCCAGAUGAGCUGGCAGAUGUAGUGGCCUGGGCAAAGCUGAGGACACAGAUGCCAGCACCGUGCCACUCCCAGGCUGGCUCCAUUCCCGUCACCUGUCACCUCCUGCUGAGUCCCCAGGCGUCAGUCAAUGUCGGUACAUCGGUGCAACGUAAGCAGGGACCAACAUCUCCCCCUGGACAAAAUGGUGCCCUCACCUCCAGUAGCAUCCAUCCAGACACCAGCACUGACACUGGCCGUGCUCAGAACUGCCUCAGACCUGAAGACACAACUGACAAAUAGAAGGGGGCCACGCCCUGUUACAGCAGGUGCUCUCACUUUGUGGGUCCUUAUGUAACUGCACGAUGUUAAUCAGGAUCGCCCGUUCUACAUUGUGUAGCGCUGCUGCGGUGUCUCCUAGUUACUUGUUUCUUGUAAGAAUUCCGGUGACUGAGUUAGAAGCAUGUUUCCAAGCUGUCCGUGUUCUCGGCAUACAGAAGCGGAGCCUGGAAGCUUCCGAAUUUCUCCAGAAUGCAGUCUACAUUCACCUUCGGCAGGGCAGGAAGCCUAGACCAAAAGCUGGGUAAUGUGAUCCGAGCUACGGUAGCCAUUUGAAGACUCUGAGGACAAACUGUACCUCCGGAUUUACUUGAGCUUCCCUUGCCUUCUGGUUGGUACACACCAGGUCAUCGCAACCCAGAUGGACCUGCAGCCCACAGUACAGUAUGUACCUCGAUCUCCUCUCCCCUCUCGUCAGGGCCUGCAGCAUGAGCAUCCCUGACUACGUGCAGUGUGCUGAGGAACACCAGACUUUCCCCGUGGUGGUCGAACACGUGGGGAUCAUCUCAGAGGAGAAUUUCUUUUGCAUCUAUAAGUGAAUCACCUUGGUGAGUCAGAUCAGUCCGUGCAGCUCCCAGUGGGCAAACUGUAUCCACUACAGGCACCACUAUGCGCCCAAGAAUGGGUGGAGCGACUUCCAGACCCACCGCAAGGUCUUGGGCCUUGUCAUCAUUACUGAAUGCCUCUCGGCCAAGGCUUCGAAAAGCUCCACGUGCAGAGGAGCUGUAUGGCACCACGCUCUAUGACUCUCAGCUCUUUGACUUUCUGCUGCAUGGGGAGGUGGCCGAGCAGCCGCGCACCGAAGUGGCCUUCAAUUUACGAGGACUGCAGGGUGGUGGAGAAGAGGAUCGACGACUUCACUGAGUCACUCUUCAUCUUGCCCAAGUCCAAGUGGCUGGACGGUGCAUCCGACAAUUCUGGGGACAAGAUCCUCCUUCUCUGCAUCCCAUUUGAGAAGGAGGACAUCAUGGGACUGGACACAGAAAGCAGUACGUUUUGGUUACUGAGUCCCUCAAAUUCCCAUAUGAAUAGUAGCAGCAGCUAGUCAGUUACUGCAGAGGAGCCCGCUGGGAUUGUGAUCGAGACCACGUUGAGUAUACAGAUCGCUCUGGGGAGCACUGCCAUCCCAAGAGCGCUGUCAUCUGAUCCAGGAAUGUGCGUGGUGUGUCUGUCCAGGUAUUUAGGUCUUCUUUAAUUUUUUUCAACCAUGCGUAGAGUUUACAUAGUAUUAUUUUACCUUAUUUUUUUGCCUUUAUACUGAGUACAAUUGUGCAAGGUACUAGGAUCAGAAUUGUAUUAUAGCCCCGCCACUUGCUGCCACCAUGGACGCUGCACUCUUGCUUUGCCCUGUGUAAAAUCUUGCACAAAAUAGGACCUAAGUAACUCUCUCUUGAAUGAAUGAUUAUAUGAUUGCUGGAUGAUGCUGGAGAGUCCUUGUGAUGAUGUCUUUUUCCCAGACUUUCCCCUCUUCUUAACUAUGCCUUUUUCUCUUCCUUUCCUCCAACCUGGGUUUCAGCCUGCCUGUGGCAUUGAUUUUCCCUGAGUGUGGACUCUUCCUUUCACUAGUUCACGAUAAUGUUUCAUGCGGGCUAUGAAAACUUGCUAGAUGUCAAGAAAUAGCAAAUUCACUGCAUGCUAGUAUUUUUAGUCUGUGGUAUUAUAUUAUCCAUUGAAAUUAAAUCAGGCUGACCCCCUGAGCCCUCCCCUGAUCUCUUUUCUCCUUCCUACGGGUGAUAAUUCUCUGGUUGCUGUCUGUGCCCUUCCCCCAGACUUGGUUUUGGAGUUGAGUAAGUCACCAUCAGUGGAGCUCUCUCUUUAAAGAUGAAGAGAACAUUUGCUCCUUCUUCCUGGUUGGGGACUGGAUGAGAUGUGGUAACAGAUAAAGAAUGGAGCCCCAUCUCAUUCUGACCCUCGCUCUUUCCGUUCCUUUCUCCAGGGGAAAAGAGUAAAAUUCAAAAAUAUAAAGAUUGUGAGCUAAUGAGAUAGACAAGACAACCGAACAUUUGUUAAAUAUCCUUUCAUGCCGGACACAAAUGUAUUAUACACACAAAAAGCACACAAAUCACGGUAGUACUGCGGUUACAAACGUUGGUCCGAGUUCGAGUCCUGCUCUGGAGUGACCAGUCCUGUGAGAUGGAGAACUGAGAUCUAUGUAUAGUUUUUUACAUUCUAUACCUGGAAAUUUCUCCAAAACUGCUUCCCACGUGCCCUCACCUCCAGUGGCAUCCAUCCAGACACCAGCACUGACACUGGCCGUGCUCAGAACUGCCUCAGCCCUGAAGACACAACUGACAAAUAGAAGGGGGACACGCCCUGUGACAGCAGGUGCUCUCACUUUGUGGGUCCUUAUGUAACUGCGCAGUGUUAUUCAGGAUCGCCCGUUCUACACUGUGUGACGCUGCUGCCGUGUCUCCUAGUUAUUUCUCGUUCCUAGGAGAGAAUUCAGCAGUGCAGCAUCCUCUCCGAGCUCUAUGAGUUGAUCGGCUUCCACUGCAAGUCCGUCUUCUUCAAGUGGGUGGCCCCCGUGCAGCGCGUGGCCCCCGGCAUCCCGGAGCCUGGCGGGAAGGCCUGCUACCGACUCCUUCUGCAGACGCUUCCUGGCUACAGUCUGUCACUGAUUCUGCAGGACUUCAACAAAGGUUUUGGGACUAAAACAUUGCUUCAGUCCGAUUAACCAUGCCUUGUUUGGGCCCUGCUCUCCUGUCUCAACAGGGUGAAUUGUGAUUCGUGUAGAGCAGGACACAGCAGACUUUUUUCUGUCAAGGGCUUGGGAGUCAAUAUUUCAGGAUCUGCAAACCUCCUGAUCUCUGGUGCAGCUGCUCAGCUCUGCUGUUCAGACGCCAGAGCAGCUGGAGAGUCCACACACCCACAGAGCUUUAUUCACAGCAGUGGCUGGGGCUGGAUUGGGUGUAUGAACUGCAGUUUGUCCCCACAGCCUCCUCACUAUUGACGCCUGUACCUGAGCGUGCAUUUGCGACAAUGGGUGAACCUACACUGACAAGUCAUCAUCACCAAGAGCCCAUACUUGACACUAGGAUUUACACUUGGUGGUGUGCACUCUGUGGGUUUGGACAGAUGUACAAUGACACGUUUCUACCAUCACAGCAUCAUACAGAGUAGUCUGUCUUAGUGACCCUAAAAAUGCUCCUUGCUGCACCUCAUUCAUUACUCCUUCCCCUCUAGCCUCUGACAGUAACUGAUCUUUUAGUCUCUGUGGUUUUGCCUUUCCCAGAACACCAUACAGUUGGAAUCAGAGAGUUGCAGAAUCUUCCCAGAUUGGCUUCUUUCACUUAGUAAUAUGCAUUUAAGGUUCCUCCAUGUCUUUCCAUGCCUUGAUAACUCAUUUUAUUUUAACACCAUAAAUAGUCCAUUUUCUGCCUGGACCACAGUUUAUUUAUCCAUUCACCUACUGAAGAACAGCUUAGUUGUUUCUGAGUUCUGGUGAUUAUGAAUAAAGCUGCUAUUAACAUCUGUAUGCAGAUUUGUGUGUGGACGUAAUUUUCCAUUUUGUUCAGUAAACACCAAGGAGCACAGUUGCCAGAUCAUAUGGUAGGAGUACGUUUAGUUUUGUAAAAAAUUGCCAGACCGUCUUCCAAAGUAUCUGGGCCAUUUUUCAUUCCCACCAGCAAUGCAAGAAAAUUCCUGACGCUCCACAUCCUCACCAGCAUUUGGUGCUGUCAGUGUUCUGAGUUUUGGCAGUUCUGACUGGUGUGCAGUGAUAACUCACUGUUUCAGUCUGCAGCCCCUUGAUGACAGAUGCUGUGGAGCAUGUUUCCAUAGAUUUCUUUGGCAUCUAGUUUCCAUGUUGAGGUGUGUGUUGAGGCAUUUUGCUCAUUUUUUAAGCAGGUUAUUCAUUCUUCUUGUUGAGUUUAAAGAGAUUUUGGUGUAUUCUGGAUAUCAGCCCUUUAUCAAUGUGUCCCUGCCCUUCACCUGCAGCACCGGAGUUGUCCUUUGGGUCUCAGUGGAGUGUCAGCUCUUCAAAGAGGUUCCCUGUCUUCCCUCACCUAAAUACUGUCCUUGAACUUUUCACUUUCAUUGACUCACUUUGUUCUUUUUAAAUAGCAUUUCCCAUAAUUUGUAAGUACAUUAAAAAAAAAGGCAAUGAUUGAACACUGCCUCCCCCACCAGGCUGUGUGCCCUGUGAGAGCAGAGACCCUGUCCCCACUCACCAUGUCCCAUGACAGCACAUGUCACAUGUCCAUGUAAAUGUGUGUAACGUGGGGCCAAACCUGAUGAGCAGCUAUGACGACAUGUGUUGGCUACCAUUCAUUGAAUAGAGUUUGUUUCUUGAUCUUAAUUUUAAAUCACAUGAAUGAAACAUGUUUCUUUUGAAAAAUAAAACAACAAAGCACACCUCCAUGUGAUUGGUACUUUCUACUUAGCCUUCUGACCCAGGAGGGGACGUUCACCAUCAUUUUGUGGAGGAGGUUGGGGAGGUAAAGUAGGAGAGUGAGAUCAAAUAAAGUAAAAAUGAUAACAAUCAGCUGGCUUUAUUUUCACUAAGACAAAUGUUACUUUAAACCAUACCUCAGCUGUUGUUCUGUUGUUUUAAACACUUCUCAUAGAAUUAAAUGGAAGCCCACUAAACCCUGAAAGGGAAAUUAUGUGCUCAGGUCCUGAAAAGUGUUUAUGUCUAUUUCUUGAAAUGCACAUUUUCCCUGCUGGUUACAGAAUGUCAUGGCGGGAACACAGCCGUGAGCUGUGUGUGUCUGCCAGCUUCACGGGCUGCUCACUGUCAUUUUCAUUUUCUUGUGUUGCAGUGUAUGAAGGUUUUCCAUCAGACUGUUUGCUCAGCCCCUUCCUGAAUGAGGGAUUGAAUUUUCCACAGGAAAUCUUAUGGAAGAGAGUGACAAGGCACAUGGGUUUCCCAAAAAGCAAUAGUUGUUGUAAUAAACUCUCACAUUGGUGAACUUUUUGAAUACAAGCGAGUUGAAAAUUUUAUCACUAGGUCAUAUGCCACAAAUCUGUCUUAAGAAUAAAAAGAUUCAGAUUUUAUAGAAGAAGCAGUUUGAAUCAAGUAUAAAUUACAAUUUGUACACUAGUUGGUGUUAGAACAUGUACUCACUCUUACCAUAAUUGCCUGUGGUAGGAACUGGAUCAUUAUUUAUUUAUUUAAAAAAAAUCCUCAAGGUUCUACUUGCCUCAUUCUUGAUGCGGCAGUGCUGAGGUUAGUUAAGUUGGGACAUUUAGAAUUCUUGGCUAGGUUUUCAGGACAUUGAUUUCAGCCUCUUUAUCUUUUUUAGAAUCUCUUCUUUGUGUCGGUCUUUGGUCUUUUGACAAUGUGGAAAUACUGCACAGAUCAGUCUUUCCCUUUUUCCUGUCUUUAUGGGAAAAGAUUUCUGUAAGACACACUACUAGGACAUUAAGCAUUUUGUGUGGGGUAAGUUUGGUCGGCUCAAAGGAUUUCAAUUAAUACGUAUUAAUACUUGCUAUUCAGCUAAUGAUAAGAAAAUUAUAAAAUAACUUAAUUAUACAUCAAUAAAUAUAGUACAAUAAGCCCAUCACCCAGAUUAAGGAAUUCACAAACAUUUCCAUAUUUCCUUUAUUCAGACCUUUGUUCUUUUACUUGUCCUUUGUUGAAGUAUUUGACAGCAAAUUCAAGAAAACAUGUCAUUUUACCCUAUGUACUCAAGUAGGCAUGUCUGAAAAAUGAGGGCCAUUUCUUUGAUCAGGUUUUUCCAUUUGACUUAUGUGCUCGUUAAGUACCAGCUGUAUCAGGCAUCUCACUAGGCAUUAGGAAUCCUUGGGGCAAUGAGACAGUCCUGGCUCCCAAGGAAGUUAAGGGCUGAUGGAAGAAACCAACACAGGAGCUUAGGUGCCUCACCUAAGGUCCCUGCGGGAUGACACCAAUUGGAAAAAAUUUGUGCACAAUACAGUGGGAUUCACAGAAGGGACUGGUCAGACUAGUAGGGCAGGCCGUGAGAGAGGCGGUCAGCAGGGCUACAAGAGGAGGAAUCAUUUGAUCAGAAUCUGAAAUCUUUUCUGCCAACCUUCCUACCAAGCCCUAGGGCCCAUCACACACAACCCUGUGCUGUAACUGUUUUUGAUUCCUGUUACCACGUCUCCUUCAGGAAGGAUUUUAAGGUGGAAAAUAUUUAAAAUCAGUAAUUGUUGCCAGAAGGGACAUAGAACAAAGAACAUGGAAACAACACAAAUGUCCAUCAGCACAUGACUGGAUAAAGACGAGGUGAUACAUAUCUACAAUGGAAUACUACUCAGCCAUAACAGAUGCAAUUUGCAGCAACAUGGAUGGACCUGAAGACUGUCAUUCUAAGUGAAGUGGGGUGAAAAGAGAAAGAAAAAUGCCAUAAGACUUCAUUUAUGAGGAAUCUAAAAUUAAUAGCAAUAAUAAUAAGACCACAAAUGAACUAAUUGUUAUUUUGAUUUCUUGAAUAUGCUUAAGCACAUAUGACUGUCCUUUGUGAUUGGAUUACCAUAUUCUGUUUAUUAUUCUUUUGUAGUUGGCUUUAUUCCUCUGGUAACUAUGUAAGUUUAAAAAUCUGAAACUCUAAUCUGUUCUUAGAAACAAUAAUUAGUACAUAUAUGUAACUAAAAAAAUGCAGUAUACUCUAUACAUGUAUUUACAUGCAAUGUGUAUGUGGAGUUGAACUGUAAUAAUUAUACCUAAUAAUACUGAAAAAGGAAAAAAAUAAAAUAAUAUAUAAAAAAACUA